AUACGGAAGGUCCGGGCGUUAUCCGGAUUUAUUGGGUUUAAAGGGAGCGCAGGCGGGAGUCUAAGCGUGCCGUGAAAAGCUGUGGCUCAACCACCGUCGUGCGGCGCGAACUGGUCUUCUUGAGUUUCCGGUAAGCGGGCGGGAUUCGUGGGGGAGCGGGGGAAUGCUUAGAUAUCACGAGGAACCCCGAUUGCGAAGGCAGCCCGCUGCAGUGUUACUGACGCUCAUGCUCGAAGGCGCGGGUAUCGAACAGGAUUAGAUACCCUGGUAGUCCGCGCGGUAAACGAUGGAUGCCCGCUGUGCGCCUUAUAUGGUGCGCGGCCAAGCGAAAGCGUUAAGCAUCCCACCUGGGGAGUACGCCGGCAACGGUGAAACUCAAAGGAAUUGACGGGG
rnacentral:rRNA from 1 species